AUUGAACGCUGGCGGCAGGCCUAACACAUGCAAGUCGAACGAGUGGCGGACGGGUGAGUAAUGUCUGGGAAACUGCCUGAUGGAGGGGGAUAACUACUGGAAACGGUAGCUAAUACCGCAUACCAUAAGAUGUGCCCAGAUGGGAUUGUAUUGUUGGUGGGGUAACGGCUAACCAGGACGACGAUCCCUAGCUGGGCUGAGAGGAUGACCAGCCACACUGGAACUGGGACACGGUCCAGACUCUUACGGGAGGCAGCAGUGGGGAUUAUUGCACAAUGGGCGCAAGCCUGAUGCAGCCCUGCCGCGUGUAUGAAGAAGGCCUUCGGGUUUUAAAGUACUUUCAGCGGGGAGGCGUUACCCGCAGAAGAAGCACCGGCUAACUCCGUGCCAGCAGCCGCGGUAAUAC
rnacentral:rRNA from 1 species